AAGAGAGUUUUAGCGCCGGACCUGUAUGUCGCACUAUCGGCUUUGCCGAAUUUGCAGGUGACGAGGAAGAAGUUAUCGAAGUUUUCGGCGGAUGCUUCUUGUCCCAUAAGUGCGGGGAUCAAAGGCUUUUCACAAAGGCGGAGCGGCAACGCACCGUGUACAAAGGAAAAGCAAGGCACAAA
rnacentral:ncRNA from 2 species